CUUGAUUUUAAGCAGAUUAUCCUUUAUACUGCCUUUUGCCGGGCAACCGGCUAUGAUACUAAACGGGAAGCGAAAUAGGCGUAGUGGACUCGGGGGCGGUACCCGACACCUCCACCAAAUAAGGACUGGAACGUUUCGAUCAGGGGGUGACAUAGGUUCGACACGCGUAGUAAAGGCUUUUUCUUGUAUCCGGCAUUGUACCGCCGUUAUCGGGCUAAAUUGUUAAAUGCGAAUGAUAAUUUCGCUCCUGUUGCUGUUGCCGCGUAAGCUGCAUAGCAACCUUUCAAUUCCUUGGGUGAUGAGAACUUAAGGUGGGGUUGGAGCUUUCCCCAGCAACAGAAAAGCUCC
rnacentral:tmRNA from 1 species